rnacentral:rRNA from 1 species
AUACAGAGGGUGCGAGCGUUAAUCGGAAUUACUGGGCGUAAAGCGCGCGUAGGCGGCUUAUUAAGUCAGAUGUGAAAUCCCCGGGCUCAACCUGGGAACUGCGUCUGAUACUGGUAAGCUAGAGUUUUGGGGAGGGAAGUAGAAUUUCAGGUGUAGCGGUGAAAUGCAUAGAGAUCUGAAGGAAUACCAGUGGCGAAGGCGACUUCCUGGCCAAAAACUGACGCUGAGGUGCGAAAGCGUGGGUAGCAAACGGGAUUAGAAACCCCAGUAGUCC